AAUCAGCCCGUACUCCGAAUGCCCUAGAUAAAGUUGAUCAUGGCUCAGAGCGAACGCUGNCGGUAGGCCUAACACAUGCAAGUCGAACGGCAGCACAGGAGAGCUUGCUCUCUGGGUGGCGAGUGGCGGACGGGUGAGGAAUACAUCGGAAUCUACUCUGUCGUGGGGGAUAACGUAGGGAAACUUACGCUAAUACCGCAUACGACCUACGGGUGAAAGCAGGGGAUCUUCGGACCUUGCGCGAUUGAAUGAGCCGAUGUCGGAUUAGCUAGUUGGCGGGGUAAAGGCCCACCAAGGCGACGAUCCGUAGCUGGUCUGAGAGGAUGAUCAGCCACACUGGAACUGAGACACGGUCCAGACUCCUACGGGAGGCAGCAGUGGGGAAUAUUGGACAAUGGGCGCAAGCCUGAUCCAGCCAUACCGCGUGGGUGAAGAAGGCCUUCGGGUUGUAAAGCCCUUUUGUUGGGAAAGAAAUCCAGCCGGCUAAUACCUGGUUGGGAUGACGGUACCCAAAGAAUAAGCACCGGCUAACUUCGUGCCAGCAGCCGCCGGUAAUACGAAG
rnacentral:rRNA from 1 species